UACAGAGGGUGCUAGCGUUGUUCGGAAUCAUUGGGCGUAAAGGGCGUGUAGGCGGUUUGUUAAGUCAUGUGUGAAGGCCCCCGGCUCAACCGGGGAACGACGCAUGAAACUGGCAAGCUAGAGUACCGAAGAGGGGGGUGGAAUUCCCGGUGUAGCGGUGAAAUGCGUAGAUAUCUGGAGGAACACCGGUGGCGAAGGCGGCAUCCUGGACCGGCAUUGACGCUGAGGAGCGAAAAGCCAGGGGGAGCAAACGGG
rnacentral:rRNA from 1 species